rnacentral:rRNA from 1 species
CACAUGCAAGUCGAACGAUGAUGCCCAGCUUGCUGGGUGGAUUAGUGGCGAACGGGUGAGUAACACGUGAGUAACCUGCCCCUGACUCUGGGAUAAGCGUUGGAAACGACGUCUAAUACUGGAUAUGACAACUGAUCGCAUGGUCUGGUUGUGGAAAGAUUUUUUGGUUGGGGAUGGACUCGCGGCCUAUCAGCUUGUUGGUGAGGUAAUGGCUCACCAAGGCGACGACGGGUAGCCGGCCUGAGAGGGUGACCGGCCACACUGGGACUGAGACACGGCCCAGACUCCUACGGGAGGCAGCAGUGGGGAAUAUUGCACAAUGGGCGCAAGCCUGAUGCAGCAACGCCGCGUGAGGGAUGACGGCCUUCGGGUUGUAAACCUCUUUUAGUAGGGAAGAAGCGUAAGUGACGGUACCUGCAGAAAAAGCACCGGCUAACUACGUGCCAGCAGCCGCGGUAAUACGUAGGGUGCAAGCGUUGUCCGGAAUUAUUGGGCGUAAAGAGCUCGUAGGCGGUUUGUCGCGUCUGCUGUGAAAUCCCGAGGCUCAACCUCGGGCUUGCAGUGGGUACGGGCAGACUAGAGUGCGGUAGGGGAGAUUGGAAUUCCUGGUGUAGCGGUGGAAUGCGCAGAUAUCAGGAGGAACACCGAUGGCGAAGGCAGAUCUCUGGGCCGUAACUGACGCUGAGGAGCGAAAGCGUGGGGAGCGAACAGGAUUAGAUACCCUGGUAGUCCACGCCGUAAACGUUGGGCGCUAGAUGUAGGGACCUUUCCACGGUUUCUGUGUCGUAGCUAACGCAUUAAGCGCCCCGCCUGGGGAGUACGGCCGCAAGGCUAAAACUCAAAGGAAUUGACGGGGGCCCGCACAAGCGGCGGAGCAUGCGGAUUAAUUCGAUGCAACGCGAAGAACCUUACCAAGGCUUGACAUACACCGGAAACGGCCAGAGAUGGUCGCCCCCUUGUGGUCGGUGUACAGGUGGUGCAUGGUUGUCGUCAGCUCGUGUCGUGAGAUGUUGGGUUAAGUCCCGCAACGAGCGCAACCCUCGUUCUAUGUUGCCAGCGGGUUAUGCCGGGGACUCAUAGGAGACUGCCGGGGUCAACUCGGAGGAAGGUGGGGAUGACGUCAAAUCAUCAUGCCCCUUAUGUCUUGGGCUUCACGCAUGCUACAAUGGCCGGUACAAAGGGCUGCGAUACCGUAAGGUGGAGCGAAUCCCAAAAAGCCGGUCUCAGUUCGGAUUGAGGUCUGCAACUCGACCUCAUGAAGUCGGAGUCGCUAGUAAUCGCAGAUCAGCAACGCUGCGGUGAAUACGUUCCCGGGCCUUGUACACACCGC